rnacentral:rRNA from 1 species
GCAUAACGCGAAGAACCUUACCCACCUUUGACAUGUACGGAAGUUACCAGAGAUGGUUUCGUGCUCGAAAGAGAACCGUAACACAGGUGCUGCAUGGCUGUCGUCAGCUCGUGUCGUGAGAUGUUGGGUUAAGUCCCGCAACGAGCGCAACCCUUGCCAUUAGUUGCUACAUUUAGUUGGGCACUCUAAUGGGACUGCCGGUGACAAACCGGAGGAAGGUGGGGAUGACGUCAAGUCCUCAUGGCCCUUAUAGGUGGGGCUACACACGUCAUACAAUGGCUGGUACAGAGGGUUGCCAACCCGCGAGGGGGAGCCAAUCCCAUAAAGCCAGUCGUAGUCCGGAUUGGAGUCUGCAACUCGACUCCAUGAAGUCGGAAUCGCUAGUAAUCGUAGAUCAGAAUGCUACGGUGAAUACGUUCCCGGGUCUUGUACACACCG